rnacentral:rRNA from 1 species
UUGAUCCUGGCUCAGAGUGAACGCUGGCGGCGUGCUUAACACAUGCAAGUCGAGCGAAGUUUGCAGCGUAUCGCAAGCUUAGCGGCAGACGGGUGAGUAAUACUUGGGCAAUCUGCCCUUGAGUGGGGGACAACCUGCCGAAAGGCGGGCUAAUACCCCAUAAGACCACAGGGAUGCAUAUUCUAGGGGUCAAAGCUCCGCAAGGGGCGCUUGAGGAGGAGCCCGAGUCCUAUCAUGGUAGUUGGCGGGGUAACGGCCCACCAAGCCGUUGACGGGUAGCCGGCCUGAAAGGGCAAACGGCCACACUGGCACUGAGACACGGGCCAGACUCCUACGGGAGGCAGCAGUGGGGAAUUUUGGACAAUGGGGGCAACCCUGAUCCAGCGACGCCGCGUGAAGGAUGAAGGUCUUCGGAUUGUAAACUUCUUUUGGAGGGGAUGAAUGGCUUGGUGAAUAGCCAAGUUUGACAGUACUCUUCGAAUAAGCCACGGCUAACUACGUGCCAGCAGCCGCGGUAAUACGUAGGUGGCAAGCGUUACUCGGAAUCACUAGGCGUAAA